GCCCUUCCUGAGUGGUUGUAUCAACGAGGGUGCUCAGGUUUUUGCACCCAGAGGUUGCGGAAAUUCUGGGUGCCACAGAGAUCGGCAUGUGGUGCCUCUAGACUUCUCCAUGGAAGAUUUCUUUUUCAGAGAUCUGACAAAGUCUUGGUCUGACAGCAGAGGGAACCUCAAAUGCCUCACUGUAGCCAGGUAAAAACUGGAUAUUCCUGGACAUGGUUCCGCUCUUGCAGACCAAGACAUUAAGGGUUGAUCAGGAAUUUAAGAAAUUGUUAUAUCAAGAGGAAACUAUCUUCACAUAAUUACCACACAGAAAUUGCUCCUGGAGCCAAAUGAACUGGAGAAAAGACUAUUUGAAACAGGCUACCAAGUUCAGAGAUGAAAAGGUAAAGAAAGUGUUAAAAUAACUAAGCAAAAACUAAGCAAAAAAUAUGAGGCCUGUUUCCUGGAAGGAUUGGUUUCCUUAUCUGUGAGCCCUGAUGGGUGUCAUUCAGCUGCUGCCCUGCCCGUGUUCCUUGUGGAGUGGCAGCUGAGAGAACAUGCAUUCUGGGCGCAGAAUGUCAACAGAAGGGAAACUGUUAAACA